rnacentral:sRNA from 1 species
UACCUUAUAUCGCUUAAUUCAUGAAGAAGUGGGGGACCCAUUUUUGUGCUUGGCACUUGGGGUGAAUCCUUCGUUAGAGGGUAGGGCUACUUUCAAGGCCCGAGUCCGACAGCUAACCCCAUCAGCGUUUUGAAAGGAGGU